CGACACUAUGCAAAAUGUGGCCACUGAGCUACAGAAAAACUGACGGAAAUUGUGAUAAAAUCUUAUAAGCAGCGGAUCGGUAGCAACUGCAACACCGCUAGCUUCAAAAAAAAGUCGGAAAAUUAAAUUUUGGAAAACGGUGGGGAAAACGAAAACAGUAAAACAAAUAAAACAGCGGAAAAUACGGCCAAAUUACCGCCAAAUUACGGUAAAAUUUACAGCGGUAUUAAAAAAAUUAAUAAAUAAAUAAUCGCCAUGUCGAACAAAAAAGUCGGUGAACAAAAUGACUGGAUUUACGGUAACUAUACAUCGUCAUUUUUAAGACGGUAAUUCUUUUUUCCGCAGAACUAUUUACGUGUGCAGGAUGCAUUAGGAAAGAAUACUGCAUUAGUGUCGACACAUUUUGUACAUUAUGGGCGGCACGUUGUGUGUGCAUUACAACAAAAUAAUCGUCUGUUUUUAAAAGAAAAUCAUGGAAAACAUUGAAAUAAACAUGCAUGGUAAACACGGGUAAAAUCAUUAAUUUCAAAGGUUUCAGGUAAGCUUAUAUAUUAAACAUAGUUAUUGGCUGCAUUGGAAUGUUUCUCUUCAGUAACAAACGGGCUAGGCCCAGUGUUUUCGUACCCCAGUUCACUUAGGAAAGAGUUGCAGCUUUCAUCGGAGAAAUAUGAGGAUCUAAAAGUGGAGACAGACUGAAUGAGCUAGGCUGCUUUGUCUGGACGAAUAGGACCCUCCAAGGCUCCAACAGCCUCAUCACACAGAAACUCCAGGAACCGGAAGCAGGGAGGAGGACCCACAGAUGAACGGAUGACCUGCUUGCUGGGCUUCCCAUUACUGAUUCUUGAGAAGAGUACCGACAGACAUGCAUAUAGAACUGGCUGGAUGACGAGGUUGCUUCAGUCGGUGAGGAUGAGAUCAUCCAUGCAGACAAAACCUAGGAACCGGAAGCAGGGAGGAGGACCGACAGAUGAACAGAUGACCUGCUUGCUGGGCUUCACAUUACUGAUUCUU